GGCGAGUGUAUUUGACCUAAUUGGCGCUCGGCCAAGAGAAAGAGCGACACAUGUGGGCCAAAGAUUAGGAACGUUUGUAUAACAUAAAAUUCACACCGAAACACAACAAUUUAAAGAUAGCAGGGUAUUGUCUGUUUGAAGUAAUUGAAACUUUAAAACCGCCACGGAAGCGGUGAAAUUAAAUAACUUCAAACAGAAACGCUAAAAUCAUAUAUAUAUAUAUAUAUAUAUAUAUAUAUAUAUAUAUAUAUAUAUAUAUAUUUAUAUUUGAAAUGCAUGAUCAAACUGGAUUUUUGUGCCUAUUUUUGUAUAUUUUAAUACAUAAAUUUUAUAAAUAAGUCGUUUAGGCCACCUCUAUAUGACUCCCUUGGCGUUGAAUAACCUUUAUUUUGUUUUUAUGAAUUUUUGGUUACCUGUGUAUUUUCUCAGUUGUGUCUGUUGUUUAUUAUUAUUAUUUUAUGUUGUAUUUAAUGUACGCUUGAAUGUUUUACUCUUCUUAAUUUCUAUAAGAAUCUGCUAUUUGAAAUCCCCUUGAAGUUGAAUAACUUCUUUUAAUGCAUUGUAUUCUAUGCAAAAACAAGCAAUUUAAACAAAACAACUCUCAGGGAUGCUCGCAUGCAAAGUAGCAGCCAGGUCUCGCUGCGUGUUGCCAGAUUGUGUGGGAUUCUGCUCUAGCCGUACUGCGCAUGCGCUCGGGAAGCCUGGGGUAGGCCCUGCUGUUUUCAACUCGAGUUCAAUCCUACACUGCCGUCUCAACCAAAACAAGGCGCAAGAAUAUCCCCCUCCUGGACGGCAAAUAAUUGAGGGUUUCCAUCACCAUUGGAUUUGAGUUUUUGUGUUUGGACUUAAAACGCUCAAUGACAAUCUACACGAGCCUUUCUGCAACCUUCCCAACCUAAAGAAGGUAAGAGGAAAAAUGGUGAAAACGACGGUCUCCAGAAUGAACAUAAUUCAAAGACAUUAUUGUGGCAGGUGAAGGUGUUGAUUGAAUAAACAUUGUUGUUUUUGGCUGCUGCAUCCCAUCCAUGGCAUGUUAAAUGUAGUUCACGUGUCCUGUGCGAAUGACUACUUAGUCAUUUUGUGCUAGCUUUAUCUUAUUAUUAUUAUAUGACGGCCUGUGUGCUUAUGACAGUGUUGUGAUUUUCAUGUUGACCGCCUCCAAUCUUGCGGAGGGUCUGACUCACUUAAUAGCGUAAUACCCUGCAAGCUCUGGAGAUGAAACCACAAAUGGCAGAACUGGAGAUAGAUGAAGCACAGCGUUGAUUUGUGAGGAGGAUGUAUUUACUUGGUUUUAUAUACUGUAUAUACACAGUUUGCUUUUCAAAGAGAAUGGCAACCGUAGUCUGUAACUGAAGUGAAGAGCCAAAGAGAUGUAUUCUUCAUUUUAAGAGACUUUUUUUUUCUUCACUUUUUUCCAUGAUAGAGACAGUAGAC
rnacentral:lncRNA from 1 species